AAGAGGAAAGGCCAGCACCCAACCUCAUAUUUCACCCUCCGCACUUUCCAGUGAGGUGACUAAACCCCUGUUUUCCCUGACAAGAGUCACCAACACAUAAAUAAAGUGUGAAAGGGGCUGGUCUUGGUUCUGCCCCAUGGAUCCAUUUUGCACUAGGAGAAGGCAGGGGUGAAGGACUCUUGCAAAGCCAAGCCAAGCCCAACAGGGCUUAGAAACUUCAGACAGUCUCUUCAUGCUUUUUCCUGCCACGGAGGCCUUAAAGGUUUCAUCAUGCCCUGUUCUCUGCCAGGACGACCCACAGGAGAGGAGGGGUAGGACAGACCUAAUGCAGAGCUCCCUGCAAUCAAUGAGGAAGGUAGUGGGAGGUCUUCUAAGUGAUUGCUCCACAUCAAGCUUCCACCGUAUCAGAGGUUUCCCUGCAGCUGAAGCACUCCUUAUUCCCCAAGAAUAGCUUUGCUUGUAGCUUUGGGGGAAAAGCAACCAAGGCAUAGGGAUGGUAGUGAGCAUUUCUCUUAUGAGAUCUGUCUUGAGGGGCCUCACUCCUGUUUCUAAAUAAUUAAGAGAUAUGAUGACUACUAGAAAGAGCAGGCCUUUGGUAUAUAACACAUCCCCUUUCACGCACAUGACCCUGAAAAGCAGCUGAGAGACCAUAUUUGAGGCAAGGGGAGGGGGCACUGGAAAGAAGGAAGAAUGUUUUUUAUGAGGCCGAUUGGGCUGUGUUCUCUCUGGGGUGUGUUCCCUCCCAAACUGGUGGGAAUCUCUCAUAAAAUCACAUCAGGAAUGAAUGAAAGGAGCAGGGAAAACAGGGACAAGGAUGGGAAAAACUUUGAGGGAGGAGGUUAAAUUCCAACAAACUGGCACAUACACAACAGGUGUUUGCUCAGAAAAAUACAGUAAAAUCGUCAUGCAAAUAGAACAUUAAAUCUGCUUUCCUCCAACAGAGCUGGCAGGAUUUUGCGAGCCCUCGCCCCUGGGGAGGCAGCAGGACAAGGAAGAAGGGAGGAGGAAGGAAGGUGAGAUACUUUGUUCCCCUUCCUUGCCCUCUUCCUCCCACAGAACAGUCCAUCUUGUGCAAACUUCACCCACUGGUUUGGAGUGGGGGGCUACAGUUGGGAGAGAAAUGGCUUGUGCCUCCUACCCAGCCUUAUCCCCACCACAGGCAAAAGAUGGGCCUCAUGAUAGCUGUAUCCCUGACCUUUCUUUUCUGCCUCACUGGGGUGAUGGGGGAAGGGAGCAUAACCAUUGCAGGUUAAUGCUCCCCCCAGAAGUAUAGACUGAAUGGAACUGAUUACAAGACCAUACAGCAGAGAAGCACAGGGAGGGAAGAGGUGGAGAGAGGAACAGGGCUCCCUCCCCCUGUGCCUGUGUCCCCCUUUUCCUGUCCAGUUCUGUGCCCCAGUCAUUAGUCUUUCCUGCUUGGAUUGUUGCCAUGAUGGAAGACCGCUGAGUCUGCUCCACAUGGUAGCUGGAGAGGUCUUUGCUGUGCCUAAGCAUCUCUCACAGCAUUUACCUGUCUUGAUUUGCUGCAUUGUCCCAACAUGGAGGGAUGACUGGCAGCAGUGAUGUGACUCUCCAUCCUUCUGCACAUACAUACACACACACAUACACUCUCCUUUCUCUGGGUUGGACUGGCUCUUACAGUGUAGAGAGUCCCAUGAAUACCUCUGGAUUCAAGGCAAAAUGAUGAUUUGACUAUGGGGAAUCAGGCUGACAGUGAAGGAGGCUGAAGCUAUGGGAUCAGGACCUGGCUUAGGACUGUUACCAUCAGCAUCCCUAUAAGGAAGGAACCCUACAGAUCUGCACAGGUUUAGACCUUGGAGAUCCCCCCUCUGGUUUUCACACACCAGGCUCUGCCUGCUGCUGCUCCUCACUUACAAAAGAUGAAGUCAUGUCACCUGUGGCAUAGGAACCAGCUCUCACAGCUGGCAGUGCUACUAUCUGCCAGAUAAUGGGCAUAUUCUCUGCAGGUAGCAUGUAAAUCCCUCAAAGAGAAGCUCCUACACCCUCAUCAUUCUCCCAGGGCCCCCAAAAACACUGGGGCUUCUGAAGAGCACCUCAGAAAGCAAAAAAAAACACUAAGGAAAGGCCAACACAAUACAGGCCUUCAGCCUCUUCCAGAUAGACGUGAUGAUUGUCAAGAAUUGGGGUGUACAACUCAUGGAGAAGAGGCCCACUGUGUUGCAUAAACAUGCACUCAGCAGGCAGCACCCCUGCCUGACAAGAAAACUUUGGGGUAGACCAUGCCAAGAUUGUGCUUUGUUGGGCUGCUU